rnacentral:lncRNA from 1 species
AGAGACCCCUCUAAAAAUAAAGUGACAUUCUUCUAACCAAAGAAGAGGAUCGGAAGCCAUCAGCAGGAUCGUUGCCUUCUUCUUGAACAAAAGAAAUCCUAAGCCAACAAUCUCCAUCUUCAACCCCUAAAACUAAAAGACCCAAUCGUUUCCACCAUACCCUGGACCAGCGAUCACUCUCAAAUGAACUAACCUCCACUCUCGAUCAAUACUCCUAUCAAUCGUACACCAUCCGAAUCGGCGGCGGCACCCACAACACAUAGUCGAAAAAUAGAAAAAGAAAAGAAAAAAAGACGAGGGAAGACAGAUAGCAGAGUUGUAUUAGAGGAGUAGUAGAAGAUUUAAUUCCUUAAGCCUUUCAUUUACAUCUGUAGCCGCAAUUGCUUACGUUAAAAGCAGCUCAGACUCAAUGUGGGAAAAAUUAAAAGCAUUUUGAUUCUCAUGAUUGUCUCUAAUUUCUUUGUUUUAGUUUACUUCAAGUUUUCCAGCGAGUUUUGAAGCCGCCGAAGGUCGUAGUCUGAGGUUUCU